UACAGAGGUCUCAAGCGUUGUUCGGAUUCAUUGGGCGUAAAGGGUGCGUAGGCGGCGCGGUAAGUCGGGUGUGAAAUCUCGGAGCUUAACUCCGAAACUGCAUUCGAUACUGCCGUGCUUGAGGACUGGAGAGGAGACUGGAAUUUACGGUGUAGCGGUGAAAUGCGUAGAUAUCGUAAGGAAGACCAGUGGCGAAGGCGGGGCUCUGGACAGUUCCUGACACUGAGGCACGAAGGCCAGGGGAGCAAACGGG
rnacentral:rRNA from 1 species